AAAUGAAUUGACGGGGGCCCGCACAAGCGGAGGAACAUGUGGUUUAAUUCGAUGAUACGCGAGGAACCUUACCCGGGCUUGAAUUGCAGACGAACGCGGCAGAGAUGCCAAGGCCCUUCGGGGCGUCUGUGAAGGUGCUGCAUGGUUGUCGUCAGCUCGUGCCGUGAGGUGUCGGCUUAAGUGCCAUAACGAGCGCAACCCCUUUCCUUAGUUGCCAUCAGGUCAAGCUGGGCACUCUGGGGAUACUGCCACCGUAAGGUGUGAGGAAGGUGGGGAUGACGUCAAAUCAGCACGGCCCUUACGUCCGGGGCGACACACGUGUUACAAUGGCGCGUACAGAGUGAUGGCCGCCGGCAACGUCGGUCGAAUCUAUAAAACGCGCCUCAGUUCGGACUGGAGUCUGAAACCCGACUCCACGAAGCUGGAUUCGCUAGUAAUCGCGCAUCAGCCAUGGCGCGGUGAAUACGUUCCCGGGCCUUGUACACACCGCCCGU
rnacentral:rRNA from 1 species